AGAGUUUGAUCAUGGCUCAGAAUGAACGCUAGCGGCGUGCUUAACACAUGCAAGUCGUACGAGAACUCUUUAGCUUGCUAAAGAUAGUAAAGUGGCGAACGGGUGAGUAACACGUGGGUAAUCUACCUCCGAAUUCGGGGUAACCCGCCGAAAGGCGGACUAAUACCGAAUAAUAUCUAAAGUGCUUUGGUGCUUUGGAUCAAAGGUGGCCUCUACAUGUAAGCUAUCGUUGGGAGAUGAGCCCGCGUACCAUUAGCUUGUUGGUAGGGUAAUGGCCUACCAAGGCUACGAUGGUUAGCUGGUCUGAGAGGAUGAUCAGCCACACUGGAACUGACACACGGUCCAGACUCCUACGGGAGGCAGC
rnacentral:rRNA from 1 species